GUGCUUGCUUUGGCAACACAUAUACUGAAAAAUUGGAACUAUACAGAGAAGAUAGCAUGGCCCCUGAGCAAGGAUGACAUGCAAAUUCGUAAAGUGUUCCAUUAAAAA
ensembl:snRNA U6 U6 spliceosomal RNA